CACAGGCGCGGGAUUGCUUUAGUCACAGAACAGGCGGUCCUUUGCCAGUUUUCUUUUUGCGUGGCGCGCCCCCUUCGUCUCUCCCACACAAUGGCCGCGUCCGCUUGUUCUUCUGCAGUUCAUCUGGACAACUUCCGGCUGCUUGCAGCUGGAAAUGAUACAGUCAGUGCAGCCCAGUCAUCGGCACCUCUGACUGCGCCGCUUUCCUUCUCUCUUACCUUCCAUUUCCAGCGUUAUGAUGGGGCCGACUUUGAGUCUUUCAUCACCUCGUUGGGCGUCUCCGUCGACUUUGUGGCGGAUGUGGCGUCGGAGAAAACGACGCUGAUCUUGCUACCGCUCACCCCUGUUAGUGGCUCGUGGGCACGACCGGACUCCACCACGGCAAACGGCGCCUUUUUGGUGGCGGCCAGCGCGUCGGACUCAGCGACGUCCUCCUCUGAUCAUGAAGCAGGCGCUCCACUGGAUGGCGCUGCUGGAGCCGUGCCAGGUGUGAUGUAUCAGCUGAGGGUGCACUUGAGCGAUUUUCGCGCCUUGGAAGAGGUGCCGUUGAAGCAUCUACUGCAGGUCAGUAUGAUGCGUGUCCGGCUGGCACAUCUCGGCACCGGUGAUGGCGUCGCGAACAGCGACUUGAGUGACCCACGCACAGAGGAAUGCUCGGUGGCGGCGUGGAAUGUGAUUUGGCGGGUGCGGCGCAACCCACAAAACGAGCAAGAGCUGAUACGCACGGUGCUGGACCCGCUCGCGUAGCGGGGGCAAACCACGGAAGCCACUCUCCACCGCGUGGGUGAUAAUUUACAGGGGUGUUCGCAGGUGCGGUGAUGACUGUGAACGGUUAGGAAUGGCGAUGAAGAGUGUAGGCCCACCACAACCACCACGGUUUUGCAAACAUACACACACGCACACCAAGAAAGGAAAACAGAAAGAGCAGCCGUCAGCGUUCGUCAGAGGCAAGCAUGCGCGUCAGGUGAUUGGCGGUUUCCCUUCCUCUUCCACCACCGUGUCCAUCGUACACAAAGUGCCACACCCGAUGGUACGCCGGCGCACGUCUUUCGAAUACUUUCAAGCCAGGCCAUCUUCUGCUUUAGCAUGAACACCAGCUCCCACUGACGUUCCCUCCGCUUGUUCUGUCACGGCCCUUCGCUUCUUUUUUUUUCACGCGUGUCCUCUUCCGCAAUGGAUGCGACGCCCUCCUCGUGUGGUGAUGAUAACACUUGCUGCACUUGGCUCACUCCAACCCUGUCCGCACCCUUCCCUCCUCCUCCCACCUUCAUUGUGCACAAG
rnacentral:misc_RNA from 1 species